GUCAGGAUGGCCGAGCGGUCUAAGGCGCCAGACUCAAGGUGAUAACCUUCUCAGUUCAAAACUGAGUUUUACAGAGCGUUCUGGUCCUCUCUGAGGGCGUGGGUUCGAAUCCCACUUCUGACA
rnacentral:tRNA from 1 species